rnacentral:rRNA from 1 species
UAGGGAAUCUUCCGCAAUGGGCGAAAGCCUGACGAAGCAACGCCGCGUGAGUGAUGAAGGUCUUCGGAUCGUAAAACUCUGUUAUUAGGGAAGAACAAAUGUGUAAGUAACUAUGCACGUCUUGACGGUACCUAAUCAGAAAGCCACGGCUAACUACGUGCCAGCAGCCGCGGUAAUACGUAGGUGGCAAGCGUUAUCCGGAAUUAUUGGGCGUAAAGCGCGCGUAGGCGGUUUUUUAAGUCUGAUGUGAAAGCCCACGGCUCAACCGUGGAGGGUCAUUGGAAACUGGAAAACUUGAGUGCAGAAGAGGAAAGUGGAAUUCCAUGUGUAGCGGUGAAAUGCGCAGAGAUAUGGAGGAACACCAGUGGCGAAGGCGACUUUCUGGUCUGUAACUGACGCUGAUGUGCGAAAGCGUGGGGAUCAAACAGGAUUAGAUACCCUGGUAGUCCACGCCGUAAACGAUGAGUGCUAAGUGUUAGGGGGUUUCCGCCCCUUAGUGCUGCAGCUAACGCAUUAAGCACUCCGCCUGGGGAGUACGACCGCAAGGUUG